rnacentral:rRNA from 1 species
CAUGGUUAAGUGGGAAACGAUGUGGGAAGGCCCAGACAGCCAGGAUGUUGGCUUAGAAGCAGCCAUCAUUUAAAGAAAGCGUAAUAGCUCACUGGUCGAGUCGGCCUGCGCGGAAGAUGUAACGGGGCUAAACCAUGCACCGAAGCUGCGGCAGCGACGCUUAUGCGUUGUUGGGUAGGGGAGCGUUCUGUAAGCCUGUGAAGGUGUGCUGUGAGGUAUGCUGGAGGUAUCAGAAGUGCGAAUGCUGACAUAAGUAACGAUAAAGCGGGUGAAAAGCCCGCUCGCCGGAAGACCAAGGGUUCCUGUCCAACGUUAAUCGGGGCAGGGUGAGUCGACCCCUAAGGCGAGGCCGAAAGGCGUAGUCGAUGGGAAACAGGUUAAUAUUCCUGUACUUGGUGUUACUGCGAAGGGGGGACGGAGAAGGCUAUGUUGGCCGGGCG